AAAGGGGGUAAAGUAUAAUGCUAGCUGCUAACUAAGUAUUAAAGCGGUUAAACUCCGUUUUCCCUUUA
rnacentral:tRNA from 1 species